UUUUUUUUUUUUGAUAAUGUGGGGUUUCCCAACCGCGGUCGGACUAAUCCCCCCAGGCCGGACUCGACCCUUUUGGCUUGCGCACCAGCUUGCGCUGGCUGUCCGUGGCCACUCGAAUUAAAGAAUUCUCACACUUGAGGCAGGCGGGACUCGAUCCCAGGAUGUCCGGGUCUACGGCUCACCCCAGGUCGAAGCUUACCGCUGCGCCAAGUGCUGUGGUU
rnacentral:lncRNA from 1 species